rnacentral:tRNA from 1 species
AAGUCCAGGAUUGUUUAAAAUCUUUUGGGGAUUUGCACUCCCGGUACUGAACU